UACGUAGGGUGCGAGCGUUAAUCGGAAUUACUGGGCGUAAAGCGUGCGUAGGCGGUCUUGUAAGCCAGAUGUGAAAGCCCCGGGCUUAACCUGGGAACUGCAUUUGGGACUGCAAGGCUGGAGUACGGCAGAGGGAGGUGGAAUUCCACGUGUAGCAGUGAAAUGCGUAGAGAUGUGGAGGAACACCGAUGGCGAAGGCAGCCUCCUGGGCUAGUACUGACGCUGAGGAGCGAAAGCGUGGGGAGCAAACAGG
rnacentral:rRNA from 1 species